UGACCUAGCAAGUCUGAAUGCACUUUCUCAUUUUUCUCAUAUUUUCACAUUUAUCUCUCCUUCAUUCAGAAGCAUUUGUCAAUCUGCCUCUAUCCAUGGCAGCCCUUCUUAUUUUAAUGUUCUCACUCUUACCCACAAACUAAAUUUACAUUUCUUGCUGUUAUAAAUUUUAUAUUUUUGUGUGUGGAGAAACAUUCCAUCAAGAAGACUGAAGCCCAGUAAACUCCCAAAGACAAGACUUUCAGAAGGUCUGAAGACAAGUCACAUCAAACCACUGACCUAAGAAAAAUGGAAUUAAUGUUGCAACUGCAUUCUCCUAACUUCUCACUGGACUUGAGAUGAAUUCUGUUUUCCUAUUCAGUAGAGAAACAUUUAUC
rnacentral:lncRNA from 1 species